CGAUUGGUAAACUGUUAUUUUCAAUUAGCGAGUUAUUUAGUGUCUCAAUGACAAGAGUUUGAAACUCAUUGGAAGCACUUUGUGGUCAGAAACAAGUCAAAACACGAUCGGAGAUAAUCUCACUCUUCGGAUGUGGGGACACCUAGUAAUAUUUAUCAAUUUUUUUUUAAAAAAAAUCAAGCUUAAAAAAUGUGUAUGCCCAUAACGGGCUAGUAUUGUAGUUCAAGUGUAUUUACUCUUGCAUUUGAUGUCCU
rnacentral:lncRNA from 1 species